rnacentral:rRNA from 1 species
CGGACGGGUGAGUAACGCAUGGGGAACCUGCCCUGUACCGGGGGAUAGCAGCCGGAAACGGCUGAUAAUACCGCAUAAGCGCACGAAUGUCGCAUGACAUGGUGUGAAAAACUCCGGUGGUAUAGGAUGGACCCGCGUCUGAUUAGCCGGUUGGUGGGGUAAAAGCCUACCAAAGCGAAGAUCAGUAGCCGAGUUGAGAGACUGACCGGCCACAUUGGGACUGAGACACGGCCCAGACUCCUACGGGAGGCACAGCU